UUCCGCGUCCCUCGUGGGCGUCUGGAAAAUGUGGCGUUUAGGAGGGAUCGUGCCGUGGGUGGAGCGUGCAGCAAGUCCCCCUGACCGGGGCUGUUACCCAGAGUGGGUGCGAGGCCCAUAGCUGCUAGGUCCCCCGCGGAUGUCACCUCUUGGGAGUCGGGUUGCUUGGGAGUGCAGCCCUAAUUGGGUGGUAAACUCCACCUAAGGCUAAAUACGGCCGUGAGACCGAUAGCAAACAAGUACCGUGAGGGAAAGUUGCAAAGAACUUUGAAGAGAGAGUUCAAGAGUACGUGAAACCGCUCAGAGGCAAACGGGUGGGCCCUCGAAAUCCGAUGGCGGGGGGAUUCAGUCAGGUGGUGCGGAGGCGUUGCCGGCCGUUCACACGGACCCGUCCAGGCCGGGCCGGUGGCGAGAGUCUCCGUCCUCCCUGACGCACUUCCUCCCGCUCGUAGGACGCCGCAACCGGUCGGGUAGACGCGUGCGUCGGCCAUAAGGAUGGGCGCCGGAAGGUGACCGGUGGCGGGGCUCGAUCCCCGCCGCCGGUUGUUUAUCCAGUCCGUCCGUGGCGCGACACCCGACCGAGGUUGAGUGGUCCUGUUGGGACCCAGCCGUGCCCUCCAGAGGAGCGGGCGAGUCGGCAGGCGAGCUGCGGUGGCGUUUCCCCACUCGAGAAGUGGGCGACCCGCCGUGGCCGCU
rnacentral:rRNA from 1 species